rnacentral:rRNA from 1 species
AGUGAACGCUGGCGGUAGGCCUAACACAUGCAAGUCGAACGGCAGCACAGUAAGAGCUUGCUCUUACGGGUGGCGAGUGGCGGACGGGUGAGGAAUGCAUCGGAAUCUACUUUUUCGUGGGGGAUAACGUAGGGAAACUUACGCUAAUACCGCAUAUGACCUACGGGUGAAAGCAGGGGAUCUUCGGACCUUGCGCGAUUGAAUGAGCCGAUGUCGGAUUAGCUAGUUGGCGGGGUAAAGGCCCACCAAGGCGACGAUCCGUAGCUGGUCUGAGAGGAUGAUCAGCCACACUGGAACUGAGACACGGUCCAGACUCCUACGGGAGGCAGCAGUGGGGAAUAUUGGACAAUGGGCGCAAGCCUGAUCCAGCCAUACCGCGUGGGUGAAGAAGGCCUUCGGGUUGUAAAGCCCUUUUGUUGGGAAAGAAAAGCAGCAGGUUAAUACCCCGCUGUUCUGACGGUACCCAAAGAAUAAGCACCGGCUAACUUCGUG